GGAAGUAAAAGUCGUAACAAGAUUUCCGUAGGUGAACCUGCGGAAGGAUCAUUAUCGUAUAACCGAGGUGCGAGGGCUGUCGCUGACCCGAAAGGUCGUGCACGCCCGAGUGCCCUCACACACAUCCAUCUCACCCCUAUGUGCACCACCGCGUGGGUCCCCCUUUGGCUUGUUCGGAGGGGGGCUUACGUUUUCACACAAACUUUGUAUGCAGUGUAGAAUGUAUUUUUUGUUUUUGCGAUCACGCAAUCAAUACAACUUUCAACAACGGAUCUCUUGGCUCUC
rnacentral:misc_RNA from 1 species